rnacentral:rRNA from 1 species
UACGGGGGGGGCAAGCGUUGUUCGGAAUUACUGGGCGUAAAGGGCUCGUAGGCGGCCAACUAAGUCAGACGUGAAAUCCCUCGGCUUAACCGGGGAACUGCGUCUGAUACUGGAUGGCUAGAGGUUGGGAGAGGGAUGCGGAAUUCCAGGUGUAGCGGUGAAAUGCGUAGAUAUCUGGAGGAACACCGGUGGCGAAGGCGGCAUCCUGGACCAAUUCUGACGCUGAGGCACGAAGGCCAGGGGAGCAAACGGG